CCCGCUUUGACUGGCGGACUUCGCCGGGCA
rnacentral:sRNA from 1 species